CAGUAGCCGCGGGAAUACGAAGGGGGCUAGCGUUGUUCGGAUUUACUGGGCGUAAAGCGCACGUAGGCGGACUUUUAAGUCAGGGGUGAAAUCCCGGGGCUCAACCCCGGAACUGCCUUUGAUACUGGGAGUCUUGAGUUCGAGAGAGGUGAGUGGAAUUGCGAGUGUAGAGGUGAAAUUCGUAGAUAUUCGCAGGAACACCAGUGGCGAAGGCGGCUCACUGGCUCGAUACUGACGCUGAGGUGCGUAAGCGUGGGGAGCAAACAGGAUUAGAUACCCGUGUAGUCCCUGUCUCUUAUAC
rnacentral:rRNA from 1 species